GCCUCCGUAGCUCAUCGAUCGAGCACCCGCCUCUUGAAGGGUGACGAGGGUUCGACUCCCUCCGGAGAUA
rnacentral:tRNA from 1 species